CCUACGGGAGGCAGCAGUGAGGAAUAUUGGUCAAUGGGCGCGAGCCUGAACCAGCCAAGUAGCGUGAAGGAUGACUGCACUACGGGUCGUAAACUUCUUUUAUAAAGGAAUAAAGUGAGGCACGUGUGCCUUUUUGUAUGUACUUUAUGAAUAAGGAUCGGCUAACUCCGUGCCAGCAGCCGCGGUAAUACGGAGGAUCCGAGCGUUAUCCGGAUUUAUUGGGUUUAAAGGGAGCGUAGAUGGGUUGUUAAGUCAGUUGUGAAAGUUUGCGGCUCAACCGUAAAAUUGCAAUUGAUACUGGCAGUCUUGAGUACAGUUGAGGUAGGCGGAAUUCGUGGUGUAGCGGUGAAAUGCUUAGAUAUCACGAAGAACUCCGAUUGCGAAGGCAGCUUACUAAACUGCCACUGACAUUGAUGCUCGAAAGUGUGGGUAUCAAACAGGAUUAGAUACCCGGGUAGUC
rnacentral:rRNA from 1 species